GGCAUACAGAGGAGAAAAAACAGAGGACUGUCACAACAGAGCGAUGUAAGUGUGCUUCAGUGGCUGUAGUUCCUGACUGUGGCAUUGCCAGUCCCACAGCCAUGAGAUGGUUUGAAAGGAGAAAGUGAAAUUGAAGAUUCUAAUGAGCUGUAAAUCACAAGCUGCGAUUCAAUAAGGAAUACCACUAUCAGAAGAUUCAUGACAGAGGGCAGAAAAUCAGCACUGCUAUGGAAGGGGCCACACCAAUGCCAUGCCAAAAGCAUUUUACAAGGGUUUUAUCCUCAGUUCAGCUUUUGGGGUUCAUCUCAUCAGGCUUUAGCCAUAGCAAUGCUGACUUUUACAACUGAACUCUUUCCAGAAAUGCUUCUUAAAGCUCACAGAGAAACUAUUUCUCCUGAACACAGCUCCUUUACCCUGUCUUGGAAGUUUUCCACUACCUGAAGCUUCCCAAAAGGGCCUGUUUCUCACUAUAUAUACAAGAAACAGCAUGUGGUAUUUGUUCUAGCUCAGAGAAGGUGACUCCUACCUGAGUCUUUGUGCAGUGCCACUGGGAUAGAAUGCACAAGCUGGAGAUGCAAAGACACAAAGCUCCUGAAGGUGUGGAGCACAUGAUUACAUGGUCUUCAUCUCCUCAGUUAUUCCUUCUGCUGGAAAAAAAAAAACAAAACACGAUAUAUUACUGGUGAUGAGCACCAGAGAAUUCCCAAAAAGAGUUUCCCAAGCACACUGAUGCUCAAGAAUCACUUGUUUAAUCAUACAAGACAGUUAUUUUCUCAAGUAAUGUGUGGUGACUGCUAGUUAUUAAUCCUUUCAAUCAUGAGUUAGGUUCUCUAUGUUUCAUGGACACCAAUGACAUGGAAGUCUGGCUCUGGAGAUUGCAGGAGACAUGCUGCCUUGCAGAGCAGAGGGAGCUCUGCCUGCCUCUCAUGGGGCCAUCGUUUCACAUUUCCAUGUGAGUUAUAGAGAGUUCUACUAA